CAGCUUCACGUUCAGGAAGGGAUAUCCCAUCUCUUCAUCGUGAUUGUCCCUGAAGGCAUCAAAACUAUGAAUGAACACGUGGAGUUAUGUACUUAACAAAAAAAGGCACAUUUUAUGGACUUUGAGGAUGGAGAUGUGCACAUGUUGUCCCAGGAACACCGCUUCCGGUUGUUCAGCUCUGUGGAAUAUGAAGGGCAGCUGUACAUGACUCCUCAGAAUUUCAUUGGGUCUGUCACAAUGAGUGUGCCAAGAAGUACGUAUACUAAUAAAUACCAGGAGUGUCAAAAAAAAGUUGAUU